UACGGAGGGAGCUAGCGUUGUUCGGAAUUACUGGGCGUAAAGCGCGCGUAGGCGGCUUUGUAAGUCAGAGGUGAAAUCCCGGAGCUCAACUCCGGAACUGCCUUUGAGACUGCAUCGCUUGAAUCCGGGAGAGGUGAGUGGAAUUCCGAGUGUAGAGGUGAAAUUCGUAGAUAUUCGCAAGAACACCAGUGGCGAAGGCGGCUCACGUGGCCCGGUACUGACGCUGAGGUGCGAAAGCGUGGGGAGCAAACAGG
rnacentral:rRNA from 1 species